CAAAGCCGCCGAGCUUGCCUGCGCGCACACAAUCGAGCAACCCAGCACCUCCGCCGCCCGGGAAGCCCAAACCAAACCCUAAGCCUCCGCGACCGGCCGCCGGCGAUGGCCCGCUACGACCGCGCGAUCACCGUCUUCUCCCCCGACGGCCACCUCUUCCAGGUCGAGUACGCCCUCGAGGCCGUCCGCAAGGGCAACGCCGCCGUCGGCGUCCGCGGCACCGACACCGUCGUCCUCGGCGUCGAGAAGAAGUCCACCCCCAAGCUCCAGGACUCCAGGUCCGUGCGCAAGAUCGCGAGCCUGGACACGCACGUCGCGCUGGCGUGCGCGGGGCUCAAGGCGGACGCGCGGGUGCUCAUCAACCGCGCCCGCGUCGAGUGCCAGAGCCACCGCCUCACCGUCGAGGACCCCGUCACCGUCGAGUACAUCACCCGCUACAUCGCCGGCCUGCAGCAGAAGUACACCCAGAGCGGCGGGGUACGCCCCUUCGGCCUCUCCACCCUCAUCGUCGGCUUCGAUCCAUACACGGACAAGCCCGCCCUGUACCAGACCGACCCCUCCGGCACCUUCUCCGCCUGGAAGGCCAACGCCACCGGGAGGAACUCCAACUCCAUGCGGGAGUUCCUGGAGAAGAACUACAAGGACACAUCCGGCAAGGAGACCAUCAAGCUCACCAUCCGAGCCCUUCUAGAGGUUGUUGAGAGUGGUGGGAAGAACAUCGAGAUUGCAGUGAUGACAAAGAAGGAUGGCCUUCGGCAACUCGAGGAGACUGAAAUUGAUGAAUAUGUUGCCGAGAUUGAGGCAGAGAAGGCCGCGGCUGAGGCUGCAAAGAAGAGCGGCCCGAAGGAUACCUAA
rnacentral:rRNA from 1 species